rnacentral:rRNA from 1 species
GGUUAAGCGACUAAGCGUACACGGUGGAUGCCCUGGCAGUCAGAGGCGAUGAAGGACGUGCUAAUCUGCGAAAAGCGUCGGUAAGGUGAUAUGAACCGUUAUAACCGGCGAUGUCCGAAUGGGGAAACCCAGUGUGAUUCGUCACACUAUCGUUAACUGAAUACAUAGGUUAACGAGGCGAACCGGGGGAACUGAAACAUCUAAGUACCCCGAGGAAAAGAAAUCAACCGAGAUUCCCCCAGUAGCGGCGAGCGAACGGGGAGCAGCCCAGAGUCUGAAUCAGCUUGUGUGUUAGUGGAACGGUCUGGAAAGUCCGACGGUACAGGGUGAUAGUCCCGUACACCAAAAUGCACAGGCUGUGAACUCGAAGAGUAGGGCGGGACACGUGGUAUCCUGUCUGAAUAUGGGGGGACCAUCCUCCAAGGCUAAAUACUCCUGACUGACAGAUAGUGAACCAGUACCGUGAGGGAAAGCCGAAAAGAACCCCGGCUAGGGGAGUGAAAAAGAACCUGAAACCGUGUACGUACAAGCAGUGGGAGCACCUUCGGGUGUGACUGCGUACCUUUUGUAUAAUGGGUCAGCGACUUAUAUUCUGUAGCAAGGUUAACCGUAUAGGGUAGCCGCAGGGAAACCGAGUCUUAACUGGGCGUUAAGUUGCAGGGUAUAGACCCGAAACCCGGUGAUCUAGCCAUGGGCAGGUUGAAGGUUGGGUAACACUAACUGGAGGACCGAACCGACUAAUGUUGAAAAAUUAGCGGAUGACUUGUGGCUGGGGGUGAAAGGCCAAUCAAACCGGGAGAUAGCUGGUUCUCCCCGAAAGCUAUUUAGGUAGCGCCUCGUGAACUCAUCUUCGGGUGUAGAGCACUGUUUCGGCUAGGGGGUCAUCCCGACUUACCAACCCGAUGCAAACUACGAAUACCGAAGAAUGUUAUCACGGGAGACACACGGCGGGUGCUAACGUCCGUCGUGAAGAGGGAAACAACCCAGACCGCCAGCUAAGGUCCCAAAGUCAUGGUUAAGUGGGAAACGAUGUGGGAAGGCACAGACAGCCAGGAUGUUGGCUUAGAAGCAGCCAUCAUUUAAAGAAAGCGUAAUAGCUCACUGGUCGAGUCGGCCUGCGCGGAAGAUGUAACGGGGCUAAACCAUGCACCGAAGCUGCGGCAGCGACACGAUGUGUUGUUGGGUAGGGGAGCGUUCUGUAAGCCUGCGAAGGUGACCUGUGAGGGUUGCUGGAGGUAUCAGAAGUGCGAAUGCUGACAUAAGUAACGAUAAAGCGGGUGAAAAGCCCGCUCGCCGGAAGACCAAGGGUUCCUGUCCAACGUUAAUCGGGGCAGGGUGAGUCGACCCCUAAGGCGAGGCCGAAAGGCGUAGUCGAUGGGAAACAGGUUAAUAUUCCUGUACUUGGUGUUACUGCGAAGGGGGGACGGAGAAGGCUAUGUUAGCCGGGCGACGGUUGUCCCGGUUUAAGCAUGUAGGCUGGUUAUCCAGGCAAAUCCGGAUAAUCAAGGCUGAGGUGUGAUGACGAGGCACUACGGUGCUGAAGUAACAAAUGCCCUGCUUCCAGGAAAAGCCUCUAAGCAUCAGGUAACAUCAAAUCGUACCCCAAACCGACACAGGUGGUCAGGUAGAGAAUACCAAGGCGCUUGAGAGAACUCGGGUGAAGGAACUAGGCAAAAUGGUGCCGUAACUUCGGGAGAAGGCACGCUGGUGUGUAGGUGAAGCCCCUGCGGGUGGAGCUGAGACCAGUCGAAGAUACCAGCUGGCUGCAACUGUUUAUUAAAAACACAGCACUGUGCAAACACGAAAGUGGACGUAUACGGUGUGACGCCUGCCCGGUGCCGGAAGGUUAAUUGAUGGGGUUAUCCGUAAGGAGAAGCUCUUGAUCGAAGCCCCGGUAAACGGCGGCCGUAACUAUAACGGUCCUAAGGUAGCGAAAUUCCUUGUCGGGUAAGUUCCGACCUGCACGAAUGGCGUAAUGAUGGCCAGGCUGUCUCCACCCGAGACUCAGUGAAAUUGAACUCGCUGUGAAGAUGCAGUGUACCCGCGGCAAGACGGAAAGACCCCGUGAACCUUUACUAUAGCUUGACACUGAACAUUGAGCCUUGAUGUGUAGGAUAGGUGGGAGGCUUUGAAGCGUGGACGCCAGUCUGCGUGGAGCCAACCUUGAAAUACCACCCUUUAAUGUUUGAUGUUCUAACGUUGGCCCCUGACCGGGGUUGCGGACAGUGUCUGGUGGGUAGUUUGACUGGGGCGGUCUCCUCCCAAAGCGUAACGGAGGAGCACGAAGGUUAGCUAAUCCUGGUCGGACAUCAGGAGGUUAGUGCAAUGGCAUAAGCUAGCUUGACUGCGAGCGUGACGGCGCGAGCAGGUGCGAAAGCAGGUCAUAGUGAUCCGGUGGUUCUGAAUGGAAGGGCCAUCGCUCAACGGAUAAAAGGUACUCCGGGGAUAACAGGCUGAUACCGCCCAAGAGUUCAUAUCGACGGCGGUGUUUGGCACCUCGAUGUCGGCUCAUCACAUCCUGGGGCUGAAGUAGGUCCCAAGGGUAUGGCUGUUCGCCAUUUAAAGUGGUACGCGAGCUGGGUUUAGAACGUCGUGAGACAGUUCGGUCCCUAUCUGCCGUGGGCGCUGGAGAAUUGAGGGGGGCUGCUCCUAGUACGAGAGGACCGGAGUGGACGCAUCACUGGUGUUCGGGUUGUCAUGCCAAUGGCACUGCCCGGUAGCUAAAUGCGGAAGAGAUAAGUGCUGAAAGCAUCUAAGCACGAAACUUGCCCCGAGAUGAGUUCUCCCUGAGACUUUAAGUCUCCUGAAGGAACGUUAAAGACGAUGACGUUGAUAGGCCGGGUGUGUAAGCGCAGCGAUGCGUUGAGCUAACCGGUACUAAUGAACCGUGAGGCUUAACCUU